rnacentral:misc_RNA from 1 species
AAGUCGUAACAAGGUUUCCGUAGGUGAACCUGCGGAAGGAUCAUUACAAAUCUUUUGCGAGUAUGCGUGCUUUACCGCCGCAGCUACUCACAACAUUAGCACAAGGCCGCAAGGUCUUGAUGUUUACGCUUGUAUGUUUGACAGAGUUAGUUUGAGACAAUAAAAAAGACAACUUUUAACAAUGGAUCUCUUGGCUCUU